AUUGAACGCUGGCGGCAGGCCUAACACAUGCAAGUCGAACGAGUGGCGGACGGGUGUGUAAUGUCUGGGAAACUGCCUGAUGGGGGGGGAUAACUACUGGAAACGGUAGCUAAUACCGCAUACCAUCAGAUGUGCCCAGAUGGGAUGAGCUAGUUUGUGGGGUAACGGCUCACCAAGGCGACGAUCCCCAGCUGGUCUGAGAGGAAGACCGGCCACACUGGAACUGAGACACGGUCCAGACUCCUACGGGAGGGAGCAGUGGGGAAUAUUGCACAAUGGGCGCAAGCCUGAUGCAGCCAUGCCGCGGGUAUGAAGAAGGCCUUCGGGUUGUAAAGUACUUUCAGCGGGGAGGCGUUACCCGCAUAAGAAGCACCGGCUAACUCCGUGCCAGCAGCCGCGGUAAUAC
rnacentral:rRNA from 1 species